rnacentral:rRNA from 1 species
GAUGAACGCUGGCGGCGUGCCUAACACAUGCAAGUCGAACGAACAGACGGGGAGUUUGCUCCUCUGACGUUAGAGGCGGACGGGAGAGUACCACGUGGAUAACCUACCUAUAAGACUGGGAUACCUAUGGGAAACCGGCGCUAAUACGGGAAAAUAUAUUGCAACGCAUGGUUCAAUAGUGAAAGUCGGUUUUUCUGUAACUAAUAGAUGGAUCAGCGCCGCAUGAGUUAGUUGGUAAGGUAGAGGCUUACCAAGGCAAGGAUGCGGAGACGACCCGAGCGCGUGAUCGGCCACACGGGAUCUGAGACUCGGCCGACACUCUGAGGGUGGGCAGCAGUAGGGAAUCUUCCGCAAUGGGGGAGUGCGGGACGGAGCAACGCGGCGUGAGUGAUGAAGGUCUUCGGAUGGGAAAACUCUGAUAUUAGGAGGAAACUAAUGUGUAUGUAGCUAUGCACGUCUUGACGGUACCUAAUCAGAAAGCCCCGGCUAACUACGUG